GAUGAACGCUGGCGGCGUGCCUAAUACAUGCAAGUCGAGCGAACAGACGAGGAGCUUGCUCCUCUGACGUUAGUGGCGGACGGGUGAGUAACACGUGGAUAACCUACCUAUAAGACUGGGAUAACUUCGGGAAACCGGAGCUAAUACCGGAUAAUAUAUUGAACCGCAUGGUUCAAUAGUGAAAGACGGUUUUGCUGUCACUUAUAGAUGGAUCCGCGCCGCAUUAGCUAGUUGGUAAGGUAACGGCUUACCAAGGCAACGAUGCGUAGCCGACCUGAGAGGGUGAUAGGCCACACGGGAACGGAGACACGGUCCAGACUCCUACGGGAGGCAGCAGUAGGGAAUCGUCCGCAAUGGGCGAAAGCCUGACGGAGCAACGCCGCGUGAGUGAUGAAGGUCUUCGGAGCGUAAAACUCUGUUAUUAGGGAAGAACAAAUGUGUAAGUAACUAUGCACGUCUUGACGGUACCUAAUCAGAAAGCCACGGCUAACUACGUG
rnacentral:rRNA from 1 species